UACGUAGGGUGCGAGCGUUGUCCGGAAUUAUUGGGCGUAAAGAGCUCGUAGGCGGUUUGUCGCGUCUGCUGUGAAAACCCGAGGCUCAACCUCGGGCCUGCAGUGGGUACGGGCAGACUAGAGUGCGGUAGGGGAGAUUGGAAUUCCUGGUGUAGCGGUGGAAUGCGUAGAUAUCAGGAGGAACACCGGUGGCGAAGGCGGAUCUCUGGGCCGUAACUGACGCUGAGGAGCGAAAGCAUGGGGAGCGAACAGG
rnacentral:rRNA from 1 species